GUUAUUCUAUGACGAUUUGCCAAAUCUUUUCCAGUAUAUUUUCAUCAAGUUCAUUGUCUGCUUACUGUAUUCGCAAUCUUAUCCAUCGUCUCGAUUGGCCAUCUUCCGCAACCGCUGCACUUCUAUUUUUCUUCCCGGAGGUCUCUCACCAAUUUGUUCGAUUUUGAUCAGACCUCCGUCGAUCGGCAGGAUCAAUAUAUAUCUCUCCCUCAUUCUCUCUCUUUCCAUCUCUCUCUCUCAUUUCCUCCUCCUUUCUCUAAUUUGUCUUCUGAUCACAAAAUCUCCGUCGGUUGGUUCUUUGGUAGGCAAUAUAUCCUCGUAUAAAUAGCAAUUUAUCACCCUCUACCGGCCGGCCUUCCUCUCUCUCUCUCUCUCUAUAUAUAUAUAUUUUUAAUCUGGUUAACAGGAAAGAAACUCUCGGAAGUAAAGAGAGCGAUAUUGGUUCGGUUCAAUCCGAAGACGGAUUUUACGUUACUGUGGCUCGUAGAAACGAUCUCAGAUUGAGCCGCGCCAAUAUCACUACUUCCUGCCAUCCAGCGUCUUCUUCUCUCCCAGGUUAAAUUGUCCCCUCCCCUUGAAAAAGUAUCAGGCGAAAUGGGAGCAUUGCGCUACAAGAAGGAGUUCAAUCCAGCUAAUAGGACGAGACAUGGCAACGGCAUAAUUUACUUCACGUGAUAGAUGAAGAGAAAUCUUGUCAGCAAAGGCAUAAGAAAGAAGAAGAAAACUUGAACCAUUAGAACGGUGGCAGUUCUUGCAGAUCGCUCUACUAGCGUUCUGCGAGAAUGACACACUGUGGUUACCAAACAAUCGAGCAUGAAAAUAGGCACGGUACACAUACGUGCAAAGCUUGCAGAAUUUGAGGCUUUGAUCCAAAUAAAAACUGUUGGUGGAAAGAGCUUUAAUAGACACCGGCCAUGGAGAUGCAUCCCUUGUAUGCUUUUCAUCUUGAAGGUCUUCAACUCCAACGACC